rnacentral:rRNA from 1 species
UACAGAGGGGGGCAAGCGUUGUUCGGAAUUACUGGGCGUAAAGGGCGCGUAGGCGCCUUCUAAGUCGAACGUGAAAUCCCCGGGCUCAACCCGGGAACUGCGUCCGAUACUGGAAGGCUUGAAUCCGGGAGAGGGAUGUGGAAUUCCAGGUGUAGCGGUGAAAUGCGUAGAUAUCUGGAGGAACACCGGUGGCGAAGGCGACAUCCUGGACCGGUAUUGACGCUGAGGCGCGAAAGCCAGGGGAGCAAACGGG